rnacentral:misc_RNA from 1 species
CGCCGCCGCCCCUGCCCGACCGCCUGGCGCCCGGCCCCGCGCCGCGCGCGCCGCUGCCGCUGCCGCUCAGGGCACUAAACAAACCCAAAUCGAUAGCAACGAGUACACCGAACGGAGAUGUUCCGAAAGAAAAGUAACUAUUAAUAUAUUUUUGGAAAAAAAAUACUAUGUAACAAAUGGAUUUUUUUUUUAAUUAAAAAUUGUCUUACAGACCACAGCGAGGCAGACCUCCGAAGCAUAAAAGAGUUGAAGAAGUCGCUAAAAGUGAACCGGUAUCAGACGACGAAUCCAUAUCGAGUAGCGGUGGAAAACGGUGGCGCGGUUGUGGAAGUGAUGACAACCGCGCAGUGCGGUCCGUGACCGCGCAACACUCGCCCGCAGUACACUCGCCCGCGCAGCAUUCAUCCUCAGUACACUCGCCCGCGCAACAUUCGCCCGCACAACGUUCGCCCUCGGUUCACUCAACCGCUCAACAUUCGCCCUCGGUACACUCAACCGCUCAACAUUCGCCCGCUUUGCGUUCGUUCGCGCUGACGCACCAGGCGCCGCCGCCCCCCCAGCGUGCACUAAUCGCGCGCCAUAUAGCGGACCUCGAGCUCUCAUCCGACCCCGGCUCCUGGACUCAGAGGGAGGUGUCGGCGCUGGUGGCGCGGCUGGCGGGCGCGGGCGC